UCCGCGUUAGUAUAGUGGUCAGUAUCUCUGCCUGUCACGCAGAAGAUUGAGGUUUGAUUCCCCGACAGAGAG